rnacentral:rRNA from 1 species
AACGAACGCUGGCGGCAUGCCUAACACAUGCAAGUCGAACGAGACCUUCGGGUCUAGUGGCGCACGGGUUCGUAACGCGUGGGAACCUGCCCUUAGGUUCGGAAUAACUCCCCGAAAGGGGUGCUAAUACCGGAUAAUGUCUUCGGACCAAAGAUUUAUCGCCUUUGGAUGGGCCCGCGUUGGAUUAGCUAGUUGGUAGGGUAAAAGCCUACCAAGGCGACGAUCCAUAGCUGGUCUGAGAGGAUGAUCAGCCACACUGGGACUGAGACACGGCCCAGACUCCUACGGGAGGCAGCAGUGGGGAAUAUUGGACAAUGGGCGAAAGCAUGAUCCAGCAAUGCCGCGUGAGUGAUGAAGGCCUUAGGGUUGUAAAGCUCUUUUACCCGGGAUGAUAAUGACAGUACCGGGAGAAUAAGCUCCGGCUAACUACGUG